GGUUUUCUGAAAGUAAAUAGAAAAUCUGGCCUGCCCACUGAUAUUAGUUUAAGGGCUGCAGUAUAUUGACUGUACAAAGGUAGCAUAAUCAUUAGUCUUUUAAUUGGAGACUGGAAUGAAAGGUCCGACAAACUUAAGCUGUCUCUAAUUUAUUAAAUGAAUUUAUUUAUUUGUGAAAAAACAAAUAUAAAUUAAAGGGACAAGAAGACCCUAUCAAACUUAGUUUGGACAGAAAUGUUUUUGUAGAAAUAAAAGUGAGAUUGAGGACAAAAUUUGCUGGGGCGGUAAGUAUUAACCUAUAUUGUAGUGUAACAUAUCAGAUGGAAAGGGUAAGGAUCCAAAAGAUUGAGAUUAGGAAAUAGUUACUGUAGGGAUAACAGCGUAAUAUUUUUUGAGAGUUCAUAUUGACAAAAAUGUUUGCGACCUCGAUGUUGGAUUAAGAAUUCUUUUUGAUGUAGCCGUCAAUUGAGAUAGUCUGUUCGACUAUUAAAUUCUU
rnacentral:rRNA from 1 species